rnacentral:rRNA from 1 species
AUUGAACGCUGGCGGCGUGCCUAACACAUGCAAGUCGAGCGGUAACAGGUGUAGCAAUACAUGCUGACGAGCGGCGAACGGGUGAGUAAUGCUUCGGAAUCUACCUUAUGGUGGGGAAUAACUAGCCGAAAGGUUAGCUAAUACCGCAUACGUCCUACGGGAGAAAGCAGGGGAUCGUAAGACCUUGCGACCAAAAGAUGAGCCGAAGUCGGAUUAGCUAGUUGGUAGGUAACGGCCACCAAGGCGACGAUCCGUAGCUGGUCUGAGAGGACGACCAGCCACACUGGGACUGAGACACGGCCCA